GAAAUGCGAUAAGUAAUGUGAAUUGCAGAAUUCAGUGAAUCAUCGAAUCUUUGAACGCACCUUGCGCCCCUUGGUAUUCCGAGGGGCAUGCCUGUUUGAGUGUCUUGAAAUCAUCAAGCCCCUCGGCGCUCGUCGCCGGAGGGCUUGGACUUGGGGGUCUUGCUGACGCUUCGGCGCCGGCUCCCCUUAAAUGAAUCGGUCGGGCUUAUCGUGUGCCGGUCCACGGGCGUUGUAUCACCCUCGUCCUGGGAUGGCGCUCGACUCGAAGGCCCCUCCUCGACCUGCCUAUGGAGCGGCGGUCAAAGGCGCUUUGCCACUUUGUGAUCUGACCUCAAAUCAGGUAGGACUACCCGCUGAACUUAA
rnacentral:misc_RNA from 1 species